CCUACGGGAGGCAGCAGUGGGGAAUUUUCCGCAAUGGGCGAAAGCCUGACGGAGCAAUACAGCGUGAGGAAAGACUGCCUAUGGGUUGUAAACCUCUUUUUUCAGGGAGGAAUAAAAUGACGUGUACCUGAAGAAUAAGCAUCGGCUAACUCCGUGCCAGCAGCCGCGGUAAGACGGAGGAUGCAAGUGUUAUCCGGAAUCACUGGGCGUAAAGCGUCUGUAGGUGGUUUAAUAAGUCAACUGUUAAAUCUUGAGGCUCAACUUCAAAAUCGCAGUCGAAACUAUUAGACUAGAGUAUAGUAGAGGUAAAGAGAAUUUCCAGUGGAGCGGUGAAAUGCGUAGAUAUUGGAAAGAACACCGAUGGCGAAAGCACUUUACUGGGCUAUUACUAACACUCAGAGACGAAAGCUAGGGUAGCAAAUGGGAUUAGAUACCCCAGUAGUCCUAGCCGUAAACUAUGGAUACUAGAUGUUGAACAGAUCGACCUGUGCAGUAUCAAAGCUAACGCGUUAAGUAUCCCGCCUGGGAAGUAUGCUCGCAAGAGUGAAACUCAAAUGAAUUGACGGA
rnacentral:rRNA from 1 species